UAGGGGAUCUUCCGCAAUGGACGAAAGUCUGACGGAGCAACGCCGCGUGAGUGAAGAAGGAUUUCGGUUCGUAAAACUCUGUUGUUAGGGAAGAAAAAAUGUAUAGUAACUAUAUACAAAAGAGACGGUACCUAACCAGAAAGCCACGGCUAACUACGUGCCAGCAGCCGCGGUAAUACGUAGGUGGCAAGCGUUGUCCGGAAUUAUUGGGCGUAAAGCGCGCGCAGGUGGUUUAGAAAGUCUGAUGUGAAAGCCCACGGCUCAACCGUGGAGGGUCAUUGGAAACUAAUAAACUUGAGUGCAGGAGAGAAAAGUGGAAUUCCUAGUGUAGCGGUGAAAUGCGUAGAGAUUAGGAGGAACACCGGUGGCGAAAGCGGCUUUUUGGCCUGCAACUGACACUGAGGCGCGAAAGCGUGGGGAGCAAACAGG
rnacentral:rRNA from 1 species